AUGUCCUCUCCCAAGCAGCCCAGGAGAACAGGGAAUGGGGGCUGUGGUCAGUCUAUAGCACUCCAUCUCUGCCGUUCCUUCACGGUCACUCUCUGCCCCUGCUCCACGUGGGGUCCCUCCCAUGGGCAGCAGCUCUUCAAGAACUGCUCCCACACGGCUCCGUACCACGGGGUCCAUCCCCCAGGAGCAAACUGCUCCAGCACGGGUCCCCCACAGGCGGCAGCUCCCCCCAGACCCCCUGCUCCUGCGUGGGCUCCUCUCCACGGGCUGCAGCUCCGGCCCGGGGCCUGCUCCUGCGGGGGCUCUCCAUGGGCCGCAGCCUCCUCCAGGCCACAUCCACCUGCUCCACCGGGGGCUCCUCCACGGGCUGCAGCGUGGAGAUCUGCUCCGUGUGGGACCCAUGGGCUGCAGGGGGACAGCCUGCUCCGCCAGGGGCCUCUCCGCAGGCCGCAGGGGAACUGCUGCUGCCUGCCUGGAGCACCUCCUGCCCUCCUGCUGCACUCACCUUGGGGGCUGCAGGGCUGUUCCUCACUCCUCUCUCUCCCAGCUGCUGUUCCAGCAUUUUAUUUUUUUUUUCUUCCUUUCUUAAAUAUGCCCUCAGAAAGGCACAGACAACAUCACUUAUUGGCUCGGCUCUGGCCAGCAGCAGGGCCCUUAUCUAACAUGGAGCAGCUUCUGGAUUCUUCUCAGAGAAGCCAUCUUUAUUGCUCUCCGCUACCAAAACUUUGCCACGUAAACUCACUACAACUCCAUGGAAAUAGUAAAACUGAUGUGAAACUAAAAUACAGUCACAUGAUCACAGCACAAGUAGCAGGCUGGGAAGCUAACCAGGUAUUGUCAAUGCAGCAUCGCCUUGCAGCUGGGAACAGACUUGAUGAGCUGAUUCCUGGUGACACAGCUUUUAAAAUACAGAGUAAAAUCUGUAAGAACGCAAGUGGAAUGGGAGCUAUUAAGCAACGUACUGACCCUUCUUGUAUUCCUCCCUGUAAAAUGUUAGUCAUAGUCUUUGAGUACAAAAGAUUUGUAUGCACACACUAG
ensembl:lncRNA